AGAUUGCAUUGUGAAGCGGUUCAAGCGCUGGUCAGAUUCUGAAAUGAUUAGCCAAUCUAAUUUAUCUGUAUACUAAUUAGUGUAUAUAAAUAUAGACAGUACGAUUUGCAAGCCGAUUUUACUGGGUGUAGCCAAAUAGUUUGUCUGGUGCCUGCUCCUGCAACUUCCUGACUGGUCACAAAAUGCGUUUCUUCAAACGCCAAGUGGUGGUGGUGCUGGCGGUGGCCAUGGCCUGUCUCUGUCUCAUCCUCACCCUCAGUUCCUCAGCUCUGUCUUACCAGACUGACUACACUGUGCACGAGGAACCCGUCAAGGAACAUGUCGGUGUCGGAAUAACUACCGAACUCAUUGCAACUACGGCAGUGCUUA